rnacentral:SRP_RNA from 1 species
CCGGGAGUCGGGCGGACGCUUGCGGCCGCCAACCUGGUCAGGUCCGGAAGGAAGCAGCCACAACGGUUUGCGGCGGGUCGCCCGGCUCCUUUUAU